rnacentral:tRNA from 4 species
GCUGGUGUAGCUCAGCGGUAGAGCAGCUCACUCGUAAUGAGCAGGUCGUCGGUUCGAAUCCGACCAUCAGCUCCA